GACGAGCGCUGGCGGCGUGCUUAACACAUGCAAGUCGAACGGAAAGGCCCUGCUUUUGUGGGGUGCUCGAGUGGCGAACGGGUGAGUAACACGUGAGUAACCUGCCCUUGACUUUGGGAUAACUUCAGGAAACUGGGGCUAAUACCGGAUAGGAGCUCCUGCUGCAUGGUGGGGGUUGGAAAGUUUCGGCGGUUGGGGAUGGACUCGCGGCUUAUCAGCUUGUUGGUGGGGUAGUGGCUUACCAAGGCUUUGACGGGUAGCCGGCCUGAGAGGGUGACCGGCCACAUUGGGACUGAGAUACGGCCCAGACUCCUAGGGGAGGCAGCAGUGGGGAAUAUUGCACAAUGGGCGGAAGCCUGAUGCAGCAACGCCGCGUGCGGGAUGACGGCCUUCGGGUUGUAAACCGCUUUCGCCUGUGACGAAGCGUGAGUGACGGUAAUGGGUAAAGAAGCACCGGCUAACUACGUG
rnacentral:rRNA from 1 species